AUUGAACGCUGGCGGCAGGCCUAACACAUGCAAGUCGGGCGGUAGAGAGAAGCUUGCUUCUCUUGAGAGCGGCGGACGGGUGAGUAAUGCCUAGGAAUCUGCCUGGUAGUGGGGGAUAACGUUCGGAAACGGACGCUAAUACCGCAUACGUCCUACGGGAGAAAGCAGGGGACCUUCGGGCCUUGCGCUAUCAGAUGAGCCUAGGUCGGAUUAGCUAGUUGGUGAGGUAAUGGCUCACCAAGGCGACGAUCCGUAACUGGUCUGAGAGGAUGAUCAGUCACACUGGAACUGAGACACGGUCCAGACUCCUACGGGAGGCAGCAGUGGGGAAUAUUGGACAAUGGGCGAAAGCCUGAUCCAGCCAUGCCGCGUGUGUGAAGAAGGUCUUCGGAUUGUAAAGCACUUUAAGUUGGGAGGAAGGGUUGUAGAUUAAUACUCUGCAAUUUUGACGUUACCGACAGAAUAAGCACCGGCUAACUCUGUGCCAGCAGCCGCGGUAAUACAGAGGGUGCAAGCGUUAAUCGGAAUUACUGGGCGUAAAGCGCGCGUAGGUGGUUUGUUAAGUUGGAUGUGAAAUCCCCGGGCUCAACCUGGGAACUGCAUUCAAAUAAUUAACCCUCACUAAAGGGAACAAAAGGUGGGUUCCGGGCCCCCCCGCGAAAUUGACGGUAUCGAUAAAGGAACUACCCACUGUGGAAUUCCCCCUUAGAGUUUUAUCAUCGCUCAGGUGCGAAAGCGUGGGGAGCAAACAGG
rnacentral:rRNA from 1 species